GCGGAAAAGAGAAUCCCCCGGCCUGUCACGCCGGAGGUCGCGGGUUCGAGCCCCGUCACUCGCGCCA
rnacentral:tRNA from 1 species